rnacentral:tmRNA from 1 species
AAACUUGCAAUUUCCACAGGAAAGAUUAUAAUAAUCAUGCUGCGCAAGCAGGGAUGAUUCUGAAUCCGUUGUGGAAUAGUCGUUUUGGACUGGGGGGCGGUACCCCACAGCUCCACCAAUCUUUAGAUGGAUGAUAUCCGUCAAAACUUGGAAAGAAAAUGAUUGUGGUUCGGGUUAUGCGACGAUUUUGGCGAUGUGAGGUGUACAUGGAAACGACAAAAACAAGCAGAAACCAACCAGAAUUAUUUUAAUGGGGCUGACAUAGAUUCGACAGGCGAUAAAAGACAAAUUGGGUGAAUUCGACGUGGUGUCGUUAAAAGCCGUUAAAAAACUG